CUUUCUCUUUCACUCUCACUCUGCUUUGUUUAUAACCAUGAAAUGAAUAUACAUGUAUUUAGUAAAACUAUUGGUUGUUGUUUAGAAUUAGAAUAUGAACUGUAUGUGAAGAUGAGAUUAUACAGUAAGAGGAAUUCGUAAUAUUGGUUGUAAGUUUGUUAGAGCUAUUAGUACAGACUGCAGACUAAGACUAUUUGCCAGUGCUGUGAAUAUUGUAAGGAGUUUAGGAUAUAAGUUGUUGAAGAUGUAUCUUUUCAAGCUCAGUAGUCUCGCUGAAAAAGAUAGUAUUAGAUCAAAGUGAUGCAGAUGACUAUUGGAAAAUACAUGAGCUAUAGUUAAGGAAGAGUUAUAAGUUUAUUCAGUAUUAAUGUGAAGUCCUGAGACAAGAAGUAACUUGUGAAUUUAGGGAUUAGUGAAGGCUGAGAGUAGAAUUACAUUCUAAGGGUCUAUGUGCACAAGGGAUCCUCAGUCUUGGAGCGUAAAGAGUAGAAAGCUUAUUAGGCAAUAGUAUAGGGAUGAUUAUGCCAACAUUCUUGUAUUAGGUCUAUAUAUGUGAUUUCUUGAAAGAGACGCUAAGUGAAGAGUUAUAUGAUUAGAAGCCAAAGUAGAUUGACUGAUACCGCAAUGUUAUAGACAUUUGAUAAGGGUUAAGUUAUUUAUUAGUAGCCAAGUUAUGAUUAUGAGAUCGAUGAAGAGUUGCACUUUUACAUAAAGCAUGGAAGUAAGGAUAGUUUCGUUUAGAGAUAGUAGAGUAAUGAAACUUUCCCAGAUGAUGUUCUUAGUGAUAUAGAAAGAGAACACCGAGAGCUAAUGAAUCAAUGAAUGCGAACAGGUAGAUUUAUUUGUGUUUAAUACUUGAAGAGUAUUGUUAUGCCAUUUGAUCGUAUAUAUGUUAUUGUAAGAAAAGACUGUUAUUGUAGAAGAUUAAGUAAUAAAGACUUUGUUUUGCCAUGCAUCCUAGUCAACACCUUUCUUAUUUUGUCUUCCUUUAAUAGGUAUGCCCCCUCCCUCGGGGUGUGGGCGCUACAAAUUUGGCGACCUUGCCAGGACGGCCAUCGUCGAAGAGACACGAGGACGAUGUGCUGUCCUAUGACACGAACAGUUGGAUCAAUCGAAAGAGAAGAGCAGCGAGCAAACGAUACAGGACCAGAAGACAGAGUGACGGAGAGAACCUGAUUUGACAAUGACAUUGGCUCAGCAUCACAGAAAAUGGGACGAGCUACAGAGAAGAGAAAAGGCUACCGUGCAGUACGCAGCAGGGUGCUACAGCAAGGGGAUAGGGCCCUGGUGCGAAGUCUGGCCCCUCCAGAUGGCGGAGCAGUGAGUGGAGUCAAGGAUGUCCAGGGGUUCUCCAAGCCGCCAUCCUCAACAGCCAGCCCCCAGCACCUUUCCAGUACCGGUAUACUCAUGACCCACCCUUCUACCCCCAUCAACGGCCAUUACAGAUGCAGACGCCAGUAGCCCACCAGCAACCAACUCACUACCAACAGCAGAUGACAGAAGACCAGCUGAAAUUUUCCUAGCAAGCGAGUCCAUCAUUGAGGAAUGCCUCAAACUGAUUUUCUUUUAAUUUUUACAUUAGAUGCAUCGUUAUAUAGAAUCAUGUGUGCUAGCUGUUUAAUAAACCAGAAAUACGAGUAAUGAGAAGUACUAAGAUGAAACAAGUUGUAAAUCGUUUCAUGAAUUGUGGUGUCAUAUAAGGAAACAAGCGAUGACACUCGAUAGUGAUCAAUUGAUCUUUGUGAUAAAGUCUUCGGAAUGAGUCUCGAGCUUUCCAAGAAACCUUCACCGUUUGUCAGGCGCGCCCGUAGAAUGGGUUAAUGUUUCGCAAAGUUUAUUUGUAUGAAAGGAAAAGCCACGUAUUCUGAUAUGAUAUUAUGAACUGUAAUUCUGAGACUUUGAGUACUAGUAUUAGGUUUCGCUAUAAAGAUUUGCAACACGUUAAUGAACUCGAUGUACUUCAUGUAUUCCACAGAAGAAUUGGAGCACGAUGAUCUGUCAGCGUAGCGAGGACAUAGACUCUCAUGGACUUUGGUGAUAAGUCUCACCUCCCUGAUCUGUCCUAAGUUCAUAACGACAUUGAACGAGAACUAUAUGAACAUUAGAUUGUUGUGCUAUAUUAAUGAAUUGUUAUAAAUGUUUGAAAGUUGAAAUGUCCAGGAGACAUUUAUUUUUGGAGGGGAAGGUGUGGAGCCCCACAGAAUACCCCCCCCCUAUUUUUUUGUAUAUCUUUGACUAUGUAUGUAUGACACAAGUAUAUUUCUAGCCCCCAUAUAGUCCCUCCUCUUAGUUAAUUAGGUACCCCCUCCUGCGAGAGUGGCCUCACCCACAACUAACCUAAACACACCAGCUGGGAUACCAGGAGUGGCUUCUCACUUUGUUUUGCCAUGCAUCCUAGUCAACACCUUUCUUAUUUUGUCUUCCUUUCAUAGGUAAGAAAGAAUCUUAUAUUAUUCAAUUGUGUUAUAUUCUUGUUGUUCAUAAUAUGUGUAUUUCUAAACUAUUAUAGCUUCACUAUUCAUAUAUCUUGUAUUACUGUGUAAAAAGAGAUAUUAAUGGUCUCUGGCUAUGAGAUGUUGGAUUAUAUGACAUGUGGACUAUGGGUGGAAAUAUAAGAAAUGCCAUGUGGGAAGAGAUGCCAUGUGGGGAGAGAUAAUGUCAUUGAUGAACAUAGUAAUCACUUGUAGAAAUGAUAGGAAAGUAUUAUCGUGUGUGUGAGAUUGAUGAUUAUGUUGUUUGAUUUAGACAACAUUUUAAGUAAGUUUUGAGAAGAGAAUAUACUUUGUUACUGUCAGUAUAUUUGUCUUUUGCUCGAUAUUCAUGUGUAUAUAUACAUUCUUAGUCAAGGACAUGUGCCAUUUACUAUGCAUUAUGCCAAAGCACAUUGUUAUAUAUUCUUGUUUGGUUAGAUACAGUUUUAAUAGUGAAAUGAGUGGUUCAAGUCCAGAUUAUCUUUAAUUCUCAGUAUUAUGGUAUGAGUGAGUGUGGACGCACCAUGUGUAUAAUAUUAGUGUGUUAUUAGGAUAUGGCAGUGCGUUCAAUGUGAACACAACUUCUUAUCAGAGUUCUUAAUCCCCUCUCCCCCCAAGCUUGACCAUCCACUGCAAUGCAUUACACGCACACAGUGUAGAUAGAGUAUAUGCUAUACCCAAAUGCUAUGUUGAGAAGUGUUAGAGAUAGAAUGUGUUUGUUUUUGACCCAUGCUGGAAAUGGUAUCUUAGGGAAUGAAAGUUUGGUAGAGUCAGCAAAAUGAGAAGACAAAGGAUUUGAGUUGGGGAAUACACUUGUUGAGAAACACAUGGUCAAAUUGUCUAAUAGUUAGCUAGUGAUGGAUGGGUUGAUGAAAUAUUGUAGUUGAAGACUUGCAUAAUCACUGUCUGGAAUUCAUUGUAUUAUAUUGUUAGGAAUGAUAAUUCAGGUUAAA